rnacentral:rRNA from 1 species
GACAGAGGUGCCAAGCGUUAGGCGGAAUCACUGGGCUUAAAGCGUGUGUAGGCGGAAUUGUAAGUACCUUGUGAAAUCCCACGGCUCAACCGUGGAACUGCUUGGUAUACUGCUUUUCUUGAGCCACUUAGGGGCUACCGGAACAAAUGGUGGAGCGGUGAAAUGCGUAGAUAUCAUUUGGAACGCCAAUGGUGAAAACAGGUAGCUGGGAGUGUGCUGACGCUGAGACACGAAAGCCAGGGGAGCAAACGGG